rnacentral:lncRNA from 1 species
CACAGAGCCAGCAGAAAAUUAUCUAAUCAAAUCAGCAGCCUUUAAUGCCAAAUGCUAUAGGUAGAAAGCUUAUUCAUGGGAGCUAUUUGUUAGUUUGUAAGACAAGUCAUAUUUCCACUGAUACUUAAAUUCAGCUGUAUUGCUUUUGGAAGGAUUUUAGGUAAAAUGUCCCAAACACUAGCUAAUAACUAAGGGUGGGACACGGCAAAAUAAACCACUGAGUAGGGGUGGCCUUAGAGAACAGCUUACAGAAAAGGUUCUUUCUCUACCAUGUGUAAUACCAAAAUUGAACAUGAGGAUAUGAGGAACAGUGGCAAUUUAGCUUGGAAAACUGGGGGAUGUUAAAGUCCCCUUUCUUUAGCCAAACCAUUUUUGUCUCCUCAUCAUUUCCCCUCCCAUCUAGAGGUGUCAGGAAUGGUACUUUGAAAUGUCUGAGCCACCUUUUGGCCUCUCCAGCAACCUCCCCAACACAGAGUAGCGUCAUAAGUAGUGCUCUGUGAUGUCUGAGCCCCACCUUAGCCGCCAUUGGCUGGAGGAGAGAACCCAGCUGACCAAUCAAAGCUGAAGGGUAUCGUCCCUCAUUGUCCUCAGAAGAGGCAUAUGUAGUAGGUAGGAGGCCUGGGGUAGACCCCUGGAAAGCUUCAAUAUGGCUAAGGUAACCAGGAAACUACCACAGCCCAAUCCAGUUAUGGAGCAACUAACUAUGAGUAUCAGUGAGAGGAGAAAGAUGAAGACUCCCUUUGAGCCCAGGACCAGAGGUGGUGGCAAGGUCCUGAAGCCAACACUGAAGGCAAAAAGACCCCUUCACAGGAGUUUGAGCAAAAGAAUUCCAGAAAAAUCUGCCAACUCUGUGAGAAAUGCUAAGAAAACUAGAAUAAUAACACUAUUCGGUCACUAUCACAGACUGAAUGAGAUGCUGAAUCAAAAUGAGCGAGAGCGAGAGCAAGACCAGGACCAGGACCAGGACCAGGACCAGGACCAGGACCAAUACCAAUACCAAUACCAAGAGAAUGUGGAGAAGUCCACCACCUCAAGUGAUGACCUGGGCAGCCAGUAACUCCAGACUGAGGCCAGAGACUUCAGUAAUAUCUGCUAAGUCUCUGGGGGUCUGGUGGCUGAGAAAUGGCCAGUUGUGUAGACAUUGCAUUUUACAGCAACAGGGUACUGAUGGUACCUGAAAUAAAGUCAGCCUGUUGCAGAAACUUGUGUGUGUU